rnacentral:snRNA from 8 species
AUACUUACCUGGCAAGGGAGAUACCGUGAUCAAGAAGGCGGUUCACCCAGGGCGAGGCUCAGCCAUUGCACUCCGGCUGUGCUGACCCCUGCGAAUUUCCCAAAUG